rnacentral:lncRNA from 1 species
ACACUACCACAAGCCUCUGGAAUCAUCAUCAUCAUCACCACUUCUUUUUUUUUUUUUUUCAUUCAUCUCUGUUAUCGGACCAAUGACUCACUUGCUUGUUUUUAUCUGAAAAUCGUUUUCCUGCUCACUGCUCAUCUCUUUAAACUAUUCCAUUAUACUGCAGGUCUCAUCACUAAAUACUUCACAGUUCUCAAUACAGCUCAAAUACUAACUUCUUCCUUCUUUCUUAAGCCAGUUUCUGACUUCGGUCGAUCAUGAAAUCUCAGACCAGAGGUUGUGACAGUUUCUUUGACAAUUUGGGAUGGUAACAACAAGAAGAGGCCAUAUCAGGUUAGUAAUAUGUGCAAGAUCUUUUGGUUAUCUUGUUCUAUCAAUAUCAGAGUAACAAAAUUUACUGGCACUUCUUGUACCUUUUGUAGUACUCAAAGUACCCAACAAAUAUCUCACCGGUGUCUAUGAGUCGAUCAACAAGUUAAACGUUUGAUGAGGGGGAGAAAUCGUAACUAACUUGUUCCCUUUCUAAACUAUUCAACGCUUAAGCAGAACACGUUCUGUUGCUGUCACAAAACCGCAUAGUUAAAGGAUAUUAAUCAUGUAAUAUGCGGAACCUGAGUUAGUGUAUUUUACAAGCACGAAGCAGAGGCCAUUAUCGUAAGGAACGUUAAGGAAAUCGAAGUAAAACACAAACCCCAAAACAUAUUCGAAUCCUGUGGCAUAUAAAGGAAAUAGUA